GAUGCCAUCUCUCAAUGGGCUCAUUCUACUGACUCCCAGGGCACAGGCCUCAGCCGACUAGCCGAGCACCAAAUGUGGCCACCACGCCAUUCUGACGGGCCACAUCAAGUCACGUCUGUCAAAUGCCAUAUCUUGAUCGACUAGCUGUGCACCAUGAUGGAAUGCUACGAAUUCAUUAAUUACACCCAUGAGGUCAUUUAUUGUCACACCCUGAACCCAACAUCC
rnacentral:lncRNA from 1 species